CCUACGGGGUGCAGCAGUAGGGAAUCUUUCACAAUGGGCGAAAGCCUGAUGGAGCAACGCCGCGUGCAGGAUGAAGGCCUUCGGGUUGUAAACUGCUUUUAUAAGCGAGAAAUAUGAUGGUAACUUAUGAAUAAGGAUCGGCUAACUACGUGCCAGCAGCCGCGGUCAUACGUAGGAUCCGAGCAUUAUCCGGAGUGACUGGGUGUAAAGAGUUGCGUAGGUGGCAUAAUAAGUAGCUAGUGAAAUCUGGUGGCUCAACCAUUCAGACUAUUAGCUAAACUGUUAAGCUCGAGACCGUUAGGGGUAACUGGAAUUUCUAGUGUAGGAGUGAAAUCCGUAGAUAUUAGAAGGAACACCAAUAGCGUAGGCAGGUUGCUGGGACGGUUCUGACACUAAGGCACGAAAGCGUGGGGAGCAAACGGGAUUAGAUACCCGAGUAGUC
rnacentral:rRNA from 1 species